rnacentral:misc_RNA from 1 species
GAAAUGCGAUAAGUAAUGUGAAUUGCAGAAUUCCGUGAAUCAUCGAAUCUUUGAACGCACAUUGCGCCCUCUGGCAUUCCGGGGGGCAUGCCUGUCCGAGCGUCAUUACGCACCCUCAAGCCCGGCUUGUGUGAUGGGCCCCGCCGUCUCGUUCGCGAGACGGGCCCGAAAGGCAGCGGCGGGCUCGCUGUCACACCGGGCGUAGUAGAUUUUUCGUCUCGCCCAGGGCGUGCUGCGGGUUCCGGCCGUUAAAAAGCCUCUCUUUUAACCCAAGGUUGACCUCGGAUCAGGUAGGAAGACCCGCUGAACUUAAGC